AAUAACAACAAUACAAUAAUCCACAAGUAAUCCACACCACUCCAGUCCAUCAAUUAAUGUCUUGUGAAACCAAAAGCUGCUUGUUUGUAAGAACCAAAUAAAUUAUUAAGAUGUUUUUAACUUCAAACCAUUGCUUACAGCUAAAAUAUGAGUCCACAAUUCAUAAUAAUGCUUCCUCCAGUGAAAAAGUCCAUCCCUUGUUGUCCUUUCACAUCAAAAUCCAACCACAUAUUUGUUUAGAGCUGUAGACUUCACUUGGUCUGUGCAUAUUUCUCUCCUGAUUCAGACCAGACAUCUUUUUUUUCACUGGAGGAAGCAUUAUUAUGGACAAUGGACUCGUGUUUUAGACGGAAGCAAUGGUUUGAAGUCAAAAUCAUCUUAAUGAUGGAUUUUUUUUUUUUCUUACAAACAUGCAACUUUUGGCUUCAAACAACAUUAAUUGAUGGACUGGAGUGGUGUGGAUUACUUGGGGAUUAUUGUGAUGUUUAUCAGCUGUUUGGACUCUCAUACUGAAGGCACCCUUUCACUGCAGUGGAUGCAUUGCUGAGCAGCUGAUGCUACAUUUCUCCAAAUCUGAUGAAGAAACACCCUCAUCUAGCAUGAGUAGAACCAAACCAACCACAGCAAAGCCCAAAGCCUCUCCAUCCUCACACUUUUACGGCCACCUUCAUUCAAAGUGUAAACAAAGAGGUCACCUGACAAUACCCUCAAAUACUGCUGUGCCUUCCCUAUUGACUUAGUGUCAGGCCUCCACUUGCCCUUUUGUUUCGGAGGCAAGUCUGCCGGAGCUGUGAGACACAAGGGCGAGCUGAAUCAAAGAAAGGUCAAAGUGAAUGAGAGGCUGACCACCUCGACACACACUGAGGGGAUAUCAAAGCUGCCACUACCGGCUGCAGAGAGGAGGAAAAGUCAAGUUUCUGUCUCACGUGCGCUGCUGUUCCUCAGAGAGAUCUUCAGAAGCCAGAGAUCUGCUGUGGAACGGUAAAUGGAGGUGGUGUUGGUCUGUGACAUGCGGCUUUCAUGCUCUCAGUGCUUUGAAAUUAAAAAAAAAGGCCCGAAACCACAUGUUACAGAAAGAAAUAAAGCUUGGUUCUGCCACA
ensembl:lncRNA